CCUAAUAGGACAACAUGAUUAUUUAAAUACUCAAGACAUAGGCCGACAAGGCCGUACAAUCUUUCAUGUAAACGACAUAUGUCUACAAGCCUCUAAAAAUACAUAAAUGUCAUAAAGGUUGGGACAGAGUCCUGCCAUACCAAACAAUACACGUCUAAAAUAUACCAGCCAAAUAAGAAACUCUGAAGCAAUUAGAGCGCACCAACAUCUUCCGCUGAGCUGAUAGCCUACUUGGAGGACUCUCGACCUGUUAUCGGGACUUGCGAGCAUGAAAUACAACGUCCCAUAAGGCAAAAAGGACGUUAGCACAAAAAAAGUACCGAGUAUGUAAGGCACAUAAAUAAAAACAUAAUAGACACGGAGGAAAUACUUGGAUCAACCUGUAAGUCUGAAUAACUUUCUAAAUCAUGAAAUACUUUUAGCGUCAUGCAUAUGUGUAUGAAUGUUAUGUCAUGUAUAGGUAUAUGUCUCAUUACAUCAUCAGCCUAUGAGGGCAUGCCAUCAUAUCAUAUCAACUACUGUGGGAAAAAUCAUCACCUAUACCAGCUGAUCAGGUGGUGGUGUGUAUAUAACGUCAUAACUUUUCCUAUAUCCCAUAUAUAUAUAUACACACACACACACACACACACAUACACACGCAUAUAGAACACUGUGUGAGUCAUAUUUCAGCCACUGUGGGCAACAUCAUCAUCAUAUACCAGCUGAUCAUGUGGUGGGUGUGUAUAUAACGCCAUAACCUUUCCCAUAUCCCAUAUAAUUAUAUAUACAUACAUAUAUACGCAUAUAUAACACCAUCUGAUCAUGGGUCAAUGCACAUGAAUGCAAUGCAUGUAAAGUAUGUUAAUAAAAUCUUUCGGAGCUUCAUAAGAUUAUUUUUCCGUAAUAUCAUAAUGUAAACUCUUUUCAACUUUCGUAUAUUUAUGAAAUCCAUGAAUGGCUGAUAAAAUAUUAUAACACACGAAAAUUCAAGAACAUAAUAGAGUCAUUCAUGGAAUUUGUGCAUUUGUACGUUUUAUUCAUAUCGUAUGGAUUAUGCUAAAAGAAAAAAGGGAUAACCUUCACAUACAUGUUCCUGGAAUUAUUAAAAUGAACCUGCUUCUGCGAAAUAUGAACGAAAUUCACACUUGGACAAACUUGAAAUUUCGGACGAAUUAAUCUGUUUUGAACGAAAUAUUGGCUAAGGAUCGCAUUGUUGAAGUCUUGAAAUAUAACGAAUGUCUCUCAUCUCUCACAUUUUUGGUUUUAAAAACCAAGGAAUGCAAUUGUUGUUUGAUUUUCAAUAAAGGAAAUGUUUCUGAUUUGUCAUAUUUUUGGUCUUAAGGAAUGGGUUCAAACCAAACUUCUUUCCAAUGUUUCUGAAGCUUGGUUGAAGCUUUCAGAAUGGGUUUUUAUCUUAAAAAUCA
rnacentral:lncRNA from 1 species